rnacentral:tRNA from 1 species
GGUAAUUAGUUUAAUAAAAACAAAUGAUUUCGACUCAUUAAAUUAUGAUUUUCAUCAUAAUUACCA